AGAGUUUGAUCAUGGCUCAGAUUGAACGCUGGCGGCGUGCCUAACACAUGCAAGUCGAGCGGUAACAGGUGUAGCAAUACAUGCUGACGAGCGGCGAACGGGUGAGUAAUGCUUUGGAAUCUUCCCAGUAGUGGGGAAUAACCAGUCGAAAGAUUGGCUAAUACCGCAUACGUCUGUAAAGGGAAAGCGGGGGCUCGUAAGACCUCGCGCUAUUGGAUGAGCCAAAGUCGGAUUAGCUAGUUGGUGGGGUAAUGGCCUACCAAGGCGACAAUCCGUAGCUGGUCUGAGAGGACGACCAGCCACACCGGAACUGAGACACGGUCCGGACUCCUACGGGAGGCAGCAGUGGGGAAUAUUGGACAAUGGGGGAAACCCUGAUCCGCGACGCCCGCGUGUGUGAAGAAGGCCUGCGGGGUUGUAAAGCACUUUUAGUGGGGACAAAAAGCUACGGAUUAAUACUCUGUGGUCUUGAUUUUAACCCAAAGAAAAAGCCCGGCUAACUCUGUGCCAGCAGCCGCGGUAAUACAGAGGGUGCGAGCGUUAAUCGGAAUUACUGGGCGUAAAGCGCGCGUAGACGGUUUUGUAAGUCAGAUGUGAAAUCCCUGGGCUCAACCUGGGAACUGCAUUUGAAACUGCAUGGCUAGAGUAUCGAAGAGGGAAGUGGAAUUUCCGGUGUAGCGGUGAAAUGCGUAGAUAUCGGAAGGAACACCAGUGGCGAAAGCGACUUCCUGGUCGAAUACUGACGUUCAUGUGCGAAAGCGUGGGGAGCAAACAGGAUUAGAUACCCUAGUAGUCC
rnacentral:rRNA from 1 species